GGCUGCCUGUCUUCACAGAAAUGCGCCAAGUAGCCAGAAGGACCAUUGCUACACCCACCGCCUGCACGCCCCGCCCACUCACCCUUCGUCUCCUAGGCAACACGCCCAACAGAGCCUCACAAAGAACGCCUAAAGACUGUCACGCGGUCUGCUUGCCGGUUGUCUCCCAGGCAACGCACUCCAGUGUAGAUAGUUGCUCUGCGACCGCGUGUCUUUCCACCAUGGUUUUAGGUCUUGCUAGCUUUCCUGAGUCGCUCUCUAGCCAGUCAGAGACCGCUACACAGCCCAGAAGGCCUUCAGUCAAAUGGGACUUGGGCUCGGAUUACAGGAAAGGUACCGAAGAGACUACCGCUUCUGGUUCGAACUUCCGGCGCGAGAGACUGGACAGCCAGCCGGAUCUUGGCCUCCACGUCCAACCACAGAUCUACUUCCUGCGGCCGCGGUCCCCACUCCCCAAGUUGUUAUUCAGCUUAAUGAAUACCAAUGAUGCAAACGUGAAGAAGCUGUUGCCCAAGAGCCAUUUAUCUCGGGUGAUUAUUCGUGACAACCUCAACGCACAGCGUAUCUGCGAGAUGGAGAUGAAAGCCUCUGACAAGACCAAGAGGAAGAUGAGCUACUUGUACGACCACCUGAAAAAGAAGUUCAUGAUGGACCAGCUGAGAAAGAUGAUUCGCUGGAGGCGCGAUUCCCAGAGCACCCAGGACUACUUGGAUAAGGAACGGGUCUGAAGAUGCUAGAGAUGGCGAGCCUUACCACCCUGAACCAUGGCAGAAUGAUCUGCCCCAAGAACAGAACCACCCUGGUGAGAGCGGAGGAGCCCCAGAGCAGUUGGUCUCCACCAUGGUAGAGCAAUAAAAGGAAAGUUGUGGAUAGGAUAGGAGCGCAAAACACACCAGUUCUAACUUGCUUUGCUCCAUGCCAGCCCCCCUAUCCCUGUGAAAUCCCCACAGCCACCUAUGCUUGGUGGAAGAGCCAGUCUCCUUGGCUUGUGUAAACAUGGAAACUUAUGCCUGUAUUUCCUUCUCUUCUUGUUCCUGUCAGUCUCUCUCCUUAUAUUGUCCGUCCCUCUUGUUUCCCUCCCCACCCCAACCCCCGAAUAUCAGCUCUUCUUUCCUUCUCUCCUGAUUUUGGGCUGAAGCCAGAGCUUUGCAUAUGUGCUCAGCACGUGCUCUGUCUCCUGCUAUACACACACACCUGAGGUGACACAUUGGCCAGCUGCGCCAGGGCUGUGGACAUAUUCAAUGGAAAGGACUGAGUAAUGUACUGUGCAUCAUCCAAGUGGUAAGGAGGUCAGGGUGAGGUACUAGGCAGUGCUGCUAUUUCAGCAGCCUACCAGCUCUGAGAUCUCGAAACCUCUCUUGGCUCCUGUUCCUUAUCUGAAAGAGUCAGGCAGUAGAAAGGUAACCUGCCUCUAGGGGCUGGCAGAUGGCAAGUGCCACGCCCAGCGCUCAUUCUUUCCAACUGCAGUCACAAUGGUGAUAUUCUUUGGCUACCAGCCCUCCUGAUGCUACUGCAAAGCAAAUUUGGACCUCCUGUCUCCUGUCUGCCCCUCCCACUAGCCUGCUUAACUCAAGGUUGCUUUUCUCUUUGAACUUGGGUUCUCCUGUCAGCUUCAUUCUGCCUCCAGUGUAAUGGCUCAGGUCUUGGUCCCAAGCUCUGAUUAAACUGCAUACCUUAUGGGCAGGAAGCAAGACCCCUCUCAGAUUUGAUACAAGUCUCCUCUUUGGGUGCGUCUCCACCCAGCCCCCAUUAUAGGCCACUCUUGUACCCAUAGCUCUGACUGUACCAGUGUUAGAUUGUCUUUGACUUGUCUGUAUGCUUUCUUCCUAAUCAGGCGGUGACGUUGGCAUCUCUAACCAGUUUUCUAGGAAUGGAGCAGGAAAAGACUAUCUUGAAGUGGAUGUCCUGGUCUUCCGGCUUUGGCUCCUCUUCCUUUGAUGUCCCCAAGCCUUGAGGAUAGGAGCUGUGUGUAAUUGUAUCCCUUGGGGUCAGAGACCUCAUGGUCAGUUGAUCUCUGCAUGGUGACCGGUUGUGGCUUCUAAUGUGUUUUGCUUGCAAAUACAUCUGUGUGCCAUGUGCAUGUCUAGUGCCUGCAAAGGCCAGAGGCAGCACUGGAUUCUCUGACUCUGGACUUACAAAGGCUUGGGAGCACCAUGUGGGUGUCAGGAAUCAAACUCAGCUCCUCUGCAAGAAUAGCUUAGUGCUCUUACAGCUAAGCUGCUUCAGCCCUGCUGGUGCUGGUGCUGGUGGUGGUGGUGGUGGUGGUGGUGGUGGUGGUGGUGGUGGUAGUGGUGGUGGUGAUAGUUUUUGAGAGAGGGUCUUAGUAGAUUUAUUUGGCCUUGAGCUUGCUAUGUGGCUGAGGGUGGCCUUGAACCCCUGAUCCUCCUGCCUCUGUCUCCUGGGUACUGGGAUAGGUGUGUGCUAGCACACUCACUCCUUCCUCACCAGCCCCUUCCUGCUACACUCACGAGAGGAAGCAUGUUGUAUGUCUCACUUUCUCUGCCUUAGAAGAUGAUAUCCAAUUACAUUUACCUCCCUGCAAAUAUCAUAAGGUCACUUUUCCUUUUUUUUUUUUUUUUUUUUUUUCCGGAAUAAGAUUCCAUGUGUAUUUUUAAAAGCCAUCUGUUGAUGCACAUCUAGCCUGGCUCUAUUUCCUGGCAAUUGAAUACCAUGUCAAUAAACAUGUAUAUGUAGAUAUA